rnacentral:tRNA from 1 species
GCCCUGGUGGCAUAAUGGUUAAGCACUUGGCUGCUAACCAAAAGGUCCGUGGUUCAAACCCACCAGUGGCU